rnacentral:rRNA from 1 species
GAUGAACGCUGGCGGCGUGCCUAAUACAUGCAAGUCGAGCGAAUGGAUUAAGAGCUUGCUCUUAUGAAGUUAGCGGCGGACGGGUGAGUAACACGUGGGUAACCUGCCCAUAAGACUGGGAUAACUCGGGGAAACCGGGGCUAAUACCGGAUAAUAUUUUGAACUGCAUGGUUCAAAAUUGAAAGGCGGCUUCGGCUGUAACUUAUGGAUGGACCCGCGUCGCAUUAGCUAGUUGGUGAGGUAACGGCUCACCAAGGCAACGAUGCGUAGCCGACCUGAGAGGGUGAUCGGCCACACUGGGACUGAGACACGUCCCAGACUCCUACGGGAGGCAGCAGUAGGGAAUCUUCCGCAAUGGACGAAAGUCUGACGGAGCAACGCCGCGUGAGUGAUGAAGGCUUUCGGGUCGUAAAACUCUGUUGUUAGGGAAGAACAAGUGCUAGUUGAAUAAGCUGGCACCUUGACGGUACCUAACCAGAAAGCCACGGCUAACUACGUGCCAGCAGCCGCAGUAA